UGGAAAGCCUGUGGCAGUGGCGUUAUUGGUAGGGAAAGUAGUCCCGGAGAAUCGACACUGUAUGGAGUUUGAUUCUGCAUCCCCUAGUGACGGAAAAUGUGCUUUGAUACCUCAGUAGAUGGUGUUUGUGUUUAUUAAAUGAAAAGGAGUGAAUUAAACAGUAUGGGAUCAUAAAUGGAGAAGCUUACAGAAGAAGAAGAUAAGCCUUUCAAGUGAAGGAGAGUAAGGAAAGUGGUUGGGUAUUUUAAGAAGUGAAGAACCAUGUCCUGUGUGUGGAAUUGAAGAUAUUGAUCAACUAUUCCCACAAGAAGAAGCAUUUCCUUACAAUGUACCAUGGAUGUGAGGCAAUAUAAAUCCAAAGGACAAGCAACUUUCCUGCACAUUCAGUCUACAUUGUUUGCUCACAACAGGACUCAAACCAAUUAACAUUCUAAGGAAAAACUCUGCUAGGGAAAUUAAACUUAGGUGUCACAUCCAAUACUCUUAUUACUCAAUUCUAGUUAAUGUACUGAAAUGGUUUAUUUGAAUA